rnacentral:rRNA from 1 species
GACGAACGCUGGCGGCGUGCCUAACACAUGCAAGUCGAACGGAGAUAUGAUUUCGGUUGUAUCUUAGUGGCGAACGGGUGAGUAACGCGUGAACAACCUGACUCUAAGGGGGGGAUAACACUCGGAAACGGGUGCUAAUACCGCAUAAGACCACGACCUGGCAUCAGGAUGAGGUCAAAGGAGCAAUCCGCUGAGAGAGGGGUUCGCGUCCCAUUAGAUAGAUGGCGGGGUAACGGCCCACCAUGUCAACGAUGGGUAGCCGAGCUGAGAGGCUGAUCGGCCACACUGGAACUGAGACACGGUCCAGACUCCUACGGGAGGCAGCAGUGGGGAAUAUUGGGCAAUGGGCGCAAGCCUGACCCAGCAACGCCGCGUGAGGGAAGAAGGCUUUCGGGUUGUAAACCUCUGUCCUUGGUGACGAAACAAUGACGGUAGCCAAGGAGGAAGCCCCGGCUAACUACGUGCCAGCAGCCGCGGUAAU